rnacentral:sRNA from 1 species
GCCAGGCAUGGUGACACAUGCCUGUAAUCCCAGUGUCUUGGGAGGGAGGCUGGUGCAGGAGGAUUUUGAGUUCAAAGCCAGCCUCAGGAUCAAGGCCCUAAGCAACUCAUCAAGAUCCUGUCUCUA